AGCGAACGCUGGCGGCAGGCCUAACACAUGCAAGUCGAACGAACUCUUCGGAGUUAGUGGCGGACGGGUGAGUAACACGUGGGAACGUGCCCUUUGGUUCGGAAUAACUCAGGGAAACUUGUGCUAAUACCGAAUGUGCCCUUCGGGGGAAAGAUUUAUCGCCAUUAGAUCGGCCCGCGUCUGAUUAGCUAGUUGGUGAGGUAACGGCUCACCAAGGCGACGAUCAGUAGCUGGUCUGAGAGGAUGACCAGCCACACUGGGACUGAGACACGGCCCAGACUCCUACGGGAGGCAGCAGUGGGGAAUCUUGCGCAAUGGGCGAAAGCCUGACGCAGCCAUGCCGCGUGAAUGAUGAAGGUCUUAGGAUUGUAAAAUUCUUUCACCGGGGACGAUAAUGACGGUACCCGGAGAAGAAGCCCCGGCUAACUUCGUG
rnacentral:rRNA from 1 species